UUUGAUGUCACCAAUGACAUCAAGAGGAGGUCUUUACCUCUAUAAAUAGAUGCACUCCUUCACUUGUAGAAAUCAUCCCAAAAUAAUACAAUACAAUACAUUGUAGUGAGUAGAGAGUUAAGAGAGAAAUUCUCUUAAGUGUAAUUGGGAAAUCUCCCCUUCCUUUGUUAAUAUUAAAAAGGGCAAUUGUUCUCUGGUGGACGUAGGAUUAUUUUGAUCCGAACCACGUUAAAUCUUGUAUUCUUUCUUUUAUGUUUCCGCUAACAAUUAGUAUCAGAGCGACAGGAUUCUUUAACGAUCCAAGGAGAAAGAACAAGCAAAUAUGAGUUCCAUGAAGUUUGAAAUUGAUAGAUUCAAUGGACGCAACAACUUCAAUAUCUGGAAGAUCCAGAUGAUGGCGUUACUGCGGAGGGAAGGUUCAAUCCAUGCUAUUGACGGAAAGUAUCCUACGGAUAUAUCAGCUCCCGACAAGGAGA
rnacentral:lncRNA from 1 species